rnacentral:rRNA from 1 species
GACGAACGCUGGCGGCGUGCUUAACACAUGCAAGUCGAACGGAAAGGCCCUGCUUUUGUGGGGUGCUCGAGUGGCGAACGGGUGAGUAACACGUGAGUAACCUGCCCUUGACUUUGGGAUAACUUCAGGAAACUGGGGCUAAUACCGGAUAGGAGCUCCUGCUGCAUGGUGGGGGUUGGAAAGUUUCGGCGGUUGGGGAUGGACUCGCGGCUUAUCAGCUUGUUGGGGGGGUAGUGGCUUACCAAGGCUUUGACGGGUAGCCGGCCUGGGAGGGUGACCGGCCACAUUGGGACUGAGAUACGGCCCAGACUCCUACGGGAGGCAGCAGUGGGGAAUAUGGCACAAUGGGCGGAAGCCUGAUGCAGCAACGCCGCGUGCGGGAUGACGGCCUUCGGGUUGUAAACCGCUUUCGCCUGUGACGAAGCGUGAGUGACGGUAAUGGGUAAAGAAGCACCGGCUAACUACGUG